rnacentral:rRNA from 1 species
UACAGAGGGUGCGAGCGUUAAUCGGAAUUACUGGGCGUAAAGCGCGCGUAGGCGGCUUUGCAAGUCGGGUGUGAAAUCCCCCAGGCUUAACCUGGGAACUGCAUUCGAGACUGCAUUGCUAGAGUAUGGGGAGAGGGAAGUGGAAUUUCCGGUGUAGCGGUGAAAUGCGUAGAUAUCGGAAGGAACAUCAGUGGCGAAAGCGGCACCCUAGCGUUGAGCC